UGGGGAAUAUUGGACAAUGGGGCGAAAGCCUGAUCCAGCCAUGCCGCGUGAGUGAUGAAGGCCCUAGGGUUGUAAAGCUCUUUCACCGGUGAAGAUAAUGACGGUAACCGGAGAAGAAGCCCCGGCUAACUUCGUGCCAGCAGCCGCGGUAAUACGAAGGGGGCUAGCGUUGUUCGGAAUUACUGGGCGUAAAGCGCACGUAGGCGGACAUUUAAGUCAGGGGUGAAAUCCCGGGGGCUCAACCCCGGAACUGCCUUUGAUACUGGGUGUCUAGAGUUCGGGAGAGGUGAGUGGAAUUCCGAGUGUAGAGGUGAAAUUCGUAGAUAUUCGGAGGAACACCAGUGGCGAAGGCGGCUCACUGGCUCGAUACUGACGCUGAGGUGCGAAAGCGUGGGGAGCAAAACAGGAUUAGAUACCCUGGUAGUCCACGCCGUAAAACGAUGGAAGCCAGCUGUCGGCAAGUUUACUUGUCGGUGGCGCAGCUAACGCAUUAAGCUUCCCGCCUGGGGAGUACGGUCGCAAGAUUAAAACUCAAAUGAAUUGACGGGGGUCAUAGCUG
rnacentral:rRNA from 1 species